GGGGGCGACUUGGGUUCGACGGGGAUAGUUGAACUCGCAGCGGCAGGCCGAGCGACCCGGUGACUCGUUAAUCCAUAGGGAUUAAACACAAAAGCAGACUCUUACGAGUACGCUCUGGCCGCUUAAGGCCAGCGUUUUCAGGCCGACCUGGCCCGGGGCGGUUUGAAGGCGUGGUUAAAGGGGCUGGUUUUCUCCGGCGGCGUCGGGACGGAGGAAAUGAGAAAAAUCUGGCGCUGGCCUUUGAAUGAGCCUGUCCAUCGGCGCUUUCAGGGUGAGAAACAAAUAAUGGACUAAGCCUGUAGAAACUUCGGGGGAAGAUCUUCGGACGCGGGUUCAAUUCCCGCCGCCUCCACCA
rnacentral:tmRNA from 1 species